rnacentral:rRNA from 1 species
AGUGGCGAACGGGUGAGUAACACGUGGGUGAUCUGCCCUGCACUUCGGGAUAAGCUUGGGAAACUGGGUCUAAUACCGGAUAGGAACCAUCUUUAGUGUGGUGGUUGGAAAGUUUUUUCGGUGUAGGAUGAGCUCGCGGCCUAUCAGCUUGUUGGUGGGGUAAUGGCCUACCAAGGCGGCGACGGGUAGCCGGCCUGAGAGGGUGUACGGCCACAUUGGGACUGAGAUACGGCCCAGACUCCUACGGGAGGCAGCAGUGGGGAAUAUUGCACAAUGGGCGCAAGCCUGAUGCAGCGACGCCGCGUGGGGGAUGAAGGCCUUCGGGUUGUAAACUCCUUUCGCUAGGGACGAAGCUUUUUGUGACGGUACCUAGAUAAGAAGCACCGGCUAACUACGUGCCAGCAGCCGCGGUAAUACGUAGGGUGCGAGCGUUGUCCGGAAUUACUGGGCGUAAAGGGCUCGUAGGUGGUUUGUCGCGUCGUCUGUGAAAUUCUGGGGCUUAACUCCGGGCGUGCAGGCGAUACGGGCAUAACUUGAGUGCUGUAGGGGUAACUGGAAUUCCUGGUGUAGCGGUGAAAUGCGCAGAUAUCAGGAGGAACACCGAUGGCGAAGGCAGGUUACUGGGCAGUUACUGA